AGCGAACGCUGGCGGCAGGCCUAACACAUGCAAGUCGAACGAACCUUUCGGGGUUAGUGGCGGACGGGUGAGUAACACGUGGGAACGUGCCUUUAGGUUCGGAAUAACUCAGGGAAACUUGUGCUAAUACCGAAUGUGCCCUUCGGGGGAAAGAUUUAUCGCCUUUAGAGCGGCCCGCGUCUGAUUAGCUAGUUGGUUGAGGUAAUGGCUCACCAAGGCGACGAUCAGUAGCUGGUCUGAGAGGAUGAUCAGCCACAUUGGGACUGAGACACGGCCCAAACUCCUACGGGAGGCAGCAGUGGGGAAUCUUGCGCAAUGGGCGAAAGCCUAACGCAGCCAUGCCGCGUGAAUGAUGAAGGUCUUAGGAUUGUAAAAUUCUUUCACCGGGGACGAUAAUGACGGUACCCGGAGAAGAAGCCCCGGCUAACUUCGUG
rnacentral:rRNA from 1 species